GACAGAGGGUGCAAACGUUUGUUCGGAAUUACUGGGCGUAAAGCGAGUGUAGGCGGUUUGGUAAGUCGGAUGUGAAAGCCCCGGGCUCAACCCGGGAAGUGCACUCGAUACUGCCAAGCUAGAGUAUCGGAGAGGUUGGUGGAAUUCUCGGUGUAGAGGUGAAAUUCGUAGAUAUCAGGAGGAACACCGGUGGCGAAGGCAGGUCUCUGGGGCAGUAACUGACGCU
rnacentral:rRNA from 1 species